rnacentral:rRNA from 1 species
GACGAACGCUGGCGGCGUGCUUAACACAUGCAAGUCGAACGGAGUGGCGAACGGGUGAGUAACACGUGGGUGACCUGCCCUGCACUUCGGGAUAAGCCUGGGAAAAUGGGUCUAAUACAGGAUAGUUGGGGAUGGUGUCGCGGCCUAUCAGCUUGUUGGUGGGGUAAUGGCCUACCAAGGCGGCGACGGGUAGCCGGCCUGGGAGGGUGGACGGCCCCAGUGGGACUGCGACACGGCCCAGGCGCCUACGGGAGGCAUGAGUGGGGAUUAUUGCACAAUGGGCGGAGGGCUGAUGCAGCGCCGCCGGGUGGGGGAUGUCGGCCUUCGGGUUGUAAACUCCUUUCACCGUAUACGCGGUACCUGGAGAAGAAGCACCGGCUAACUACGUGCCAGCAGCCGCGGUAAUUC